GCUGGGAUGGCGGAGUGGUCAAUCGCAACAGUCUGUAAAACUGUCGCCCGAACGGGCUACGUAGGUUCGAAUCCUGCUCCCAGCACCA
rnacentral:tRNA from 2 species